AGUGAACGCUGGCGGUAGGCCUAACACAUGCAAGUCGAACGGCAGCACAGUAAGAGCUUGCUCUUACGGGUGGCGAGUGGCGGCCGGGUGAGGAAUACAUCGGAAUCUACUUUUUCGUGGGGGUUAACGUAGGGAAACUUACGCUAAUACCGCAUCCGACCUACGGGUGAAAGCAGGGGAUCUUCGGCCCUUGCGCGAUUGAUUGAGCCGAUGUCGGAUUAGCUAGUUGGCGGGGUAAAGGCCCACCAAGGCGACGAUCCGUAGCUGGUCUGAGAGGAUGAUCAGCCACACUGGAACUGAGACACGGUCCAGACUCCUACGGGAGGCAGCAGUGGGGAAUAUUGGACAAUGGGCGCAAGCCUGAUCCAGCUAUACCGCGUGGGUGAAGAAGGCCUUCGGGUUGUAAAGCCCUUUUGUUGGGAAAGAAAAGCAGCAGGUUAAUACCCCGCUGUUCUGACGGUACCCAAAGAAUAAGCACCGGCUAACUUCGUG
rnacentral:rRNA from 1 species